rnacentral:tRNA from 1 species
GGGGCGGUGGCGGAACGGCAGACGCUGCGGACUUAAAAUCCGCUGGACGCGAGUCCAUGAGGGUUCGAGUCCCUCCCGCCCUACUA